GGAUGUGAAGGCAAUUUGGCUGCUACAUCUGUCACCCAUUGAUGGCCAGGGUUGAUUCCGCUGAUUUGGCUGCCUAGGCAGGUGUCCCCUUUCUCCCUCUCUGCUCCAUGUGCGUCCCUCCUGAAGCUGCACAUUGGGUCGAAGAGGACGGCCUUUCCCGAAUAGAGAUGGACCGGUCUUCGGUGGAGGGUAUAUGAGUAGCUGCGCUCCGCUGUUAGACCUCCAAACAAGCUCUCAAACAUACAUAUGAUCACAUUUUCCUGACCUGAGCUGGGGGAAAACAGAUAUGACAGCCAGCAAUCCUUUGACCUCUAGGAACAGGGAUUGAAA
rnacentral:snRNA from 1 species